rnacentral:lncRNA from 1 species
UCAAUUCUGAAAUAAAAUAGCAUGACACGUGUAUUGUGUAUUUAGGAAAAAUUCACUUUGAAAUGACUAAUCCCUAGAUACAUCUAUUUCAUUUUAGACCUAUUUUGAAUAUAUGGAUUUGCGCUAAAGAUUCAAAUUUCAUAUUUGAAUACACGACUGGGGUAAAUCCUCGGAUCAAAAUUAUUGUUAUUUUAAUUAGGUUUAAGUCUGACGAGAAAAAUAUUCUACGACCAACAAUUCAUUCAUUUUCAAACCAACCCGUUU